UUGUAUAUGAACGCUUAAGGACUGAACCA
rnacentral:piRNA from 1 species